AAAGGCUUAAAAUGUCUCCUAGAAUUAUAUUCCCUGAUGAAAUUAGUAAAUGGACUAUAUUUUGUGUGACUCGGGGUUGCUAAGUAGUCAUGCUGAGGCUGUGUACAUGGGGUCAGGGUGGAAGUACAAAGGGAAAUAUAUCACCAGACACUGCAGAAACCAUAUUGGAUUCUGCAGAGUUCCUUGGCUUGGGAACUGGGAUUUGUGUCAAAUUUGAUCAGAUCUCUUAUACACAUAGGAUGUCUCUUUGGAAAUCUAAUUCACAUAUAAAAUAACUGUACAAACAUUAUCACCCAGGUUUUUUUUUUUUCAGAAAAAGAAAAAUUUAAAGAUUCUGAGAGAUGACAAUAUGUUUCAGUUAAAUUCCCACAUCUGCUUUCUGAAUUGUUCAUUUUCACUCUUAUUAUUCAACACUUUUUCAGCUUACGAUCAAGAUGGUCCUGUAUAAUAAUGUAAAUUUUGCUUGGUGUGGUGGUGCCACACAUUUAAUCCCAGCACUCUGAAAGCAAAGGCAGGUGAGUUUGAGACCAGCCUGAUCUACAUAGAUCUUUUCUCAAAAAAAAAAAAAGUAACAAUAAUAGUAAUAAUGUAAAUCUCACUGAUUCCUGAAACUGUUUAUUCUCACACAUCUAAACAUCUUUGAAACAGAAUGUCUCAUAUACCUGAUGAUCGCUCACAAUUCCUACCAGCUCCCAGGAGUCAUAAUACCAUACCUAUCAUACCUACACAAGUCUGACCCUCGCUAUCAUUUAAAGUAGUGUGACUGGGAAUCUUCAGUCCCUUAAUGUUUCAGUUCAUCAACCCUUUAAGGAUCCUCUGAAGAAAUGUUAGCCCUGGGCAUUAUUCAAACACUUGCCUUAAACUCUCUCUGGCAAGAUUAAAGGAAGUGCCAGCGUUUAAGACUGGGUACUGGGGCCGGGAGGAAACUCCCAGAGGCAACAGUUUCUUCAUAAGAAGCUCUGUUUUGCUAAAACUCAAUAUGGCCCCUACUAGAAGUGCAUGGAAAACCAUGGACAACUCAAGGUCAAAAGUGGUUCAAAGGUGCCCAAGCUCAGGUGAAGUAAUAACAUUGUAAUGACUUUUAGUUACAAUUGUGUACACAGCAGUGAUAUUUGAAAGUUCCGUUUUAAAUUAAGAAUAAAUGAUAUUUAAAUAAGAAUGACACUUUAAGACCCAAGUGAUAAGAAAACAGUGGUCAUUACUGGCAAUAUUUGUUUCCUUUUGUCAGGGUUCCUAAAAUGAGGUGCCCCUCAGUCGGCUGUACCUUAGAGUCACUGGUAGACACUUCAGAGAGGAUAAGCAUGGAGAUAGAAUUGCAGCUCUCAAGGUACCCAUAAAUCUGGAAAUAGAUGGACAAUGUGCUCAGAGUGAACAAAAGCUCACGAGGAAUAGAAACAAGACAAAAUGAGGUUAUUGUUCCCCAAACAGGUACAAACAAGAAGAUGUAGCCCCUUAGAGGAGGAUGGGGUCACAUUCCUGUAUUUCUGAAAGGGGAGACUGAAGGGCCUUGAAGAGUGGAGAGGAUUUGAACUGGAGGCCAGAGGACAAAGCAACAUGAGAGGAAAAUGAUCAGGGGAGAGAGACAAACGAUGCCCGAGGCUGAAACAGAAGGCUCAUUUCUGGAGAUGUGGUUUGCACCUGACUUCUCUGGGAAGAAAGGGAGACCCAUUCAGACUUCACCCAGGGACUGGAGGAGCAGGACACACUUGGGAAUUAUCCCCAGCACGGAACUGGAUGACUUGGGCUUCUGAUGAGGUCAAAUGAUGGAGGAUCUGAGCUACAGGGAACAGAAAGGGAGCUCACCUGAGGGAGGAGCUGUGAGGGACGCCUGCAAGCAUAGGCCUCUUCCACUCCAACAGCAGGUUCAGACAGCCAUCUGCUCAGUGCGG